AUUGAACGCUAGCGGGAUGCCUUACACAUGCAAGUCGAACGGAGUUGCGAACGGGUGAUUAAUGUAUCGGAACGUGCCCAGUCUCGGGGGAUAACUACGCGAAAGCGUAGCUAAUACCGCAUACUAUUUGAGCGGCCGAUAUCGGAUUCGCUAGUGGGUGAGGUAACGGCUAACCAAGGCGACGAUCCUUAUCUGCUUUGAGAGGACGACCAGCCACACUGGGACUGAGACACGGCCCAGACUCCUACGGGAGGCAGCAGUGGGGAAUUUUGGGCAAUGGGGGAAACCCUGAUCCAGCAAUCCCGCGUGGGUGAUGAAGGCCUUCGGGUUGUAAAGCACUUUUAGCAGGAAAGCGGUACCUGAAGAAUAAGCAACGGCUAACUACGUGCCAGCAGCCGCGGUAAUAC
rnacentral:rRNA from 1 species